rnacentral:rRNA from 1 species
CCUACGGGAGGCAGCAGUGAGGAAUAUUGGUCAAUGGACGAGAGUCUGAACCAGCCAAGUAGCGUGAAGGAUGACUGCCCUAUGGGUUGUAAACUUCUUUUAUAUGGGAAUAAAAUGUUCCACGUGUGGGAUUUUGUAUGUACCAUAUGAAUAAGGAUCGGCUAACUCCGUGCCAGCAGCCGCGGUAAUACGGAGGAUCCGAGCGUUAUCCGGAUUUAUUGGGUUUAAAGGGAGCGUAGGUGGAUGGUUAAGUCAGUUGUGAAAGUUUGCGGCUCAACCGUAAAAUUGCAGUUGAAACUGGCAGUCUUGAGUACAGUAGAGGUGGGCGGAAUUCGUGGUGUAGCGGUGAAAUGCUUAGAUAUCACGAAGAACUCCGAUUGCGAAGGCAGCUCACUGGACUGCAACUGACACUGAGGCUCGAAAGUGUGGGGAUCAAACAGGAUUAGAUACCCCAGUAGUC